rnacentral:lncRNA from 1 species
GUGCUUUUCUCAGCACCCAGUCAACUGCCAAAAGUGACUCAAACACAGGCCACCAGUGGAACUCGGCUGUACCACUGCAGUGCUGCGGAAAUUGCCUUCACCAGCGGCUUUGCAACAGCUGUUUUGCAGCAUGUCGGAGACAAUGCCUACGAAAUUAUUGGCCCUGAUCACGAGAGCCCUCAAGGGGCAAACAACAUCUCUGUUGCAGAAGUGAGCCCGAUACCACUUGGAAGUUACCAUGACAGAUGACAUGGCAGCGAUAGAUACAGAGACUGCCAUGUCUACUGCAGCUGCAACAGUGUACGAGGCAAGCAGCAGCGCGUCAGCAUCAGCAGCAGUGUCAGAAGGAACCACACCAGGCCUGGUAGAGCAACGUGUGUGCUAUCACUGACUUUUUUUGUAGUGGAUACAACUCAUUUGCUCAACAUACAAAAGCUUUUCACCACGACUGUGAGCCAGUUAUUGUGCAGCAAGUGCAAGACUAAGUUAGGUGUUAUAUAACACAGUACAAGCAUCACUUUAAUAUAUGCAAAUGCAAACAUAUUACAGUUGUUGCCUCCCCAGCCAGCCCACAUAGUGACAACAAUGUGGAACACAUGGUGGGACGCACCUCUCCCCCAUUACAAGAUAGUAGAGACUGUCAGUGUUGUUGCUAGAUUGACUGGUCUUUGUAGGCAACUAGAAGGACAACACAGGUGUCAUAAGAUUGUUGUUGAUGUUGUUGUUGAAGAGGUAAAAAAGAAGCUUGAUGCAGCUGAAGUGCCAACUGAUAUUGAGCAAAUCAAAAGCAACCACCUGAGAAAGCAACACUAUCGAAAUUUGGGUAUCUAUGUGCCGCCAACUCUGGUAUGAAUGGCAUAGGACAGAAGUGUGAUGAAAAUCACACUGACACUGCUGUUGCAUCACUGGCCACAGUGAGCAGCGACUUGUAGGGCAAGAGAGUCAACUGAAACUAACAUGAUAUAGUGUCAUGCUCCCAUGUGACCACUUUUCAAGUUAUUUUGUAAGAUACAGCUCAACCUCCAGAAACGAGACUGCAACUUGUCUGUAAAAAAGCUUUCACAAAAACUUAUUCAUAACACUAUUAACAUAGCAGUAUCUUUUUUUUUGUGUCGGUUCGAGGUUCCCGGCUGUCCAUUAAUGCAAAAAUUGAGGAAAAAAAGAACAUGUGUCGUACUUACACCUUUUUAACAAGUACGAGGGGGACAGAACUUUUCUAGUCAUGCAUCUUCAUCAUACUAUCAAGUUUUUAAAUGCCUUUUAUAAUUAUUAUUACCAGUUAUAUCUGAGUGCAUUGUAUGCAUGUAGCAGGUGUAAAAUCAGGUCAGUUGGAUCAGAUGCCUUAUCUGCAAGCGAGCCCUAUAUUCAAGAAAUUUGAAUUAAAAUAGUUACGUUAGAGAUGCAGUCUCUCAGCACUUUAUUGCCUGUGGUUUAAGCAUUGCUCAAUACUUUUGUGGGUGGCAAUUUCAACCGGCACAGCACUGCGCUUUGCCACAGUCACAUUUGUCUUCAAAGCGGUGUUUACCAUUUGUGUUGAUCUGUUUGUGUAUGCAUAGAGCAAGUUUUUAAUUUAUAUUUUUCUGCAUUCUUGUGCUUGCACUAAGCUUGUAUAAGGCAGUUACAAAAUGUGCGUCACUAUAACGAACUGUUCUGUUGAGCUUACACUUGCAAAUAAUCGUGUUCAGAUGGCCGCACUUCUAUGCGGGUGCACCGCUAGCUUUGUGUAUGUUUUUAUGUUUGUAUAAA